UGCUGCGUUUCCGAGCCCCUUACCUGUGCGUUAGACGGGGGCCUUACUCUCCUCCUCCAAAAUGCCAAAUCAUCACACCCCAAAUCAUGUUCUCUCUCCAAUUUACCCUGUUUCUGCCAGAAAAAAUUCUCCCAGAUUUAACUGUGGGCUGCAUCCUUUCCCUCCGGAGAUGUCGCCCACAGACAACUCAUACAGCACGUGCCUUAACCAAAGACUGCAGGUUGCUCCUGGGUCUAAUACCUCUCUGCCUUUUCUUUUCCUUUGCUAACACACCAGCCAAGGUUUGACAAUUAGCGAUAGUUUACUAAGUUGUUUUUCACAUAUGAUUCUUCUCCCGAGGAAAAAAUUGGUCCAUCUGAUCCUCUAUUACCUGAUUUUAUCACACCUCUUUUUUAAAAACAGCUUUAUUGAGGAAUAAUUGACAUACAAUAACCUACACAUAUUUAAAUGUACAUUUUGGCAAGUGUUGACAUAUGUAUGCACUUACGAAAUCACUAUGACAAGCCAGUGAACAUACUCAUUACCCCUCAAGGUUCCUCCGCAGUUUGUAACUAUAGAUUCGUUUGCAUAUUUCAUGGUUUUAUAUAAUGGAAUCAUACAACAUGUACCUUUUUUUUGGUCUGGCUCCUUUCAUUCAGCAUAACUAUAACUUAAACAUUAUGAUCAUGUUUAUGUAUGUAUGUUAUGUAUUAUGAACAUAAUCUUCAACAAAAUUAAUCUGCCCAUUGUUUUACCUAAUAUGCUUUGGCAGUUCUUGUGAACAAUCUUCAAGUACUGUGUAUUCCUUCCCCAUCUGGCAGGUCCAGCAGGACCAAGGUUUAAAAAAAAACACUCUUACAUGUGUCAUACCUUUCCUACUAGAUUAUCAGCCCCUUGGGGCAGGGAUUUUGGCUAAUUUAUGCAUACAUUCAAUAAAUGUUUAUUUUCUAGAUGUCAGCUGGGCCUACUCACUUACUGCCUGAAUCAAGUUUAUAAUCUAGAAAGUGGAGAAAAACCAGAAAAUCAAAAUACAAUGAGAUGAGAGUGCUUUGUUUUCCUCAGUCUCUGUGACUCUGGCCCUUUUUUGCACCCACAAAUGCUUCAUCCCUUGCUUGGAUGAUGUAGAAAGGUUAUCAGAAGCCCUGAAGUUCAACAUGCUGAUGUGCAAUCACUCACUCUGGAGGAAUUCAACUGCCAUGUCAGGAGGACACUCAAGUAGUUCUUGAAGAUGUACAAGGGACGAGGAAAUGAUACCUCCUGCAACAACCAAAAUUAACUUGCCAGCCAUGUGGGUCCAAAUAGCUGGCUUAUAUAAAUGUUUCCACAGUAAUCAGGCUUUGACCUUUCCCUGAAUGGAUUUGCUACCAGAAUAAGUCCCUGGGCAACUGAGAAAGAGACACUGUAUCUCAAAACUGAAGAGGAACAACUUAGAAUGCUGGCAACAUGAAUAUAAUUCAAAUCAAUUAAAGCAUCAAAACAAAAAGACAGCCAAUAUAUGAAAUGUUUAUUUUUUGUAAAUUUUCCCUGUCACCUAAAUUAGACACUUAUAAAUUUGGAAAAUCCUUUGUUUAUGUAAGCAGAGAGUGAUUAAUCCAGUUCCAACAAAUUGUGUUGUACUUUGUAUAGAGGAUUAAUGGAUUUUCUUCCUGAGGCUUUCUUUCAAAAAAAUUAACCUGGUUUGCAAGAGGAAAGCUUAUAUAAUGGCAACCAAAAAUACCUGGAAUAUUUCAAAUAUUAAUCUCUAACCCCAAUAGCUUAGUACAGUGCCUGGCAUAUCAUUGGUAUUCAGUAAAUAGUUCUUGAAUUAUUGAGAGGAUGAAAAUUGGGCUUCUUAAACUUUAUUACAUGCAAAUAUGUCAAUUAGCUACAUAAUAUACAAGUUAAUACAUAUUUUUUGUAACUUUUCUUU